rnacentral:rRNA from 1 species
UACAGAGGUCCCGAGCGUUGUUCGGAUUCAUUGGGCGUAAAGGGUGCGUAGGCGGCGGGGCAAGUCUGAUGUGAAAUCCUGGGGCUCAACCCUGGAACUGCAUUGGAUACUGCCUUGCUAGAGUACUGGAGAGGAAACUGGAAUUUACGGUGUAGCAGUGAAAUGCGUAGAGAUGUAAGGAAGACCAGUGGCGAAGGCGAGUUUCUGGACAGUUACUGACGCUGAGGCACGAAAGGCCGGGGAGCAAAACGGG